CUUAUUAAUCACUCUGUCUUAAAAAACCACACACAAAAAAACAUCCACAUUGUGCAGCCAGGAAAUGUUGCGAAACAGGAAGAUGAGUUCGUCUCAGAUUGACUGGCUAAAGCUCUACAUGGAAAAGUCACAUAACAACAGAGGCUGCCUGUCCUGACUGGCUGAGCCAAGAAACAUCCAGCAAACAGAAGCACACAGGGGUGAAGAGGGAGCACAGCGUGGAAGCUUUAUGGAUGUUGUGCAUUCAGGUUCUCUUUGAACAGAGUCGGUCGGUAAUCCAACAGUAAAUCUAAAUCCAUGCAGCACUGCCGGGGGAGGACAACCUUUGAUACUGGGCACACGGUUCCGAUGACAUCAGCUGCAUGACCGCACCAGGCAGUUUUCUGGAGGCCAACACUGGAAGGUAACUGGAACUAAUACAAAGGUUCAAAUAUCCUGCGCAUUAAGAAGGGGAUCAUGCUUUUCCAUCUUGUAUAAUUUAAUUGAUUAGGAGAGACAAAUUGUUCAUGUCAAAAUAAAAGUGUUUCCUUUAGCUACUGAUAGGGGUAGGCAGUCACUUCUUCACUUUGAAUCUCAUUGUAGUCAGAGAUAAAACCAAUUCCACCUGUGUAGUAGAAGCUUCAUUCUGUGUUUUCUAGGGUUCAUAUGUUGGCACCGCGCUCCAGUAUCAAACCAUCACCCCUCUCUGGAGGGUGGGAGCAUUUUAUGUAGUUUCUGUUUAAAUAAAGUCAUGCAAAGUAGCAGCUAGCUAGCAUGACAGAUUUGAUUGCUAACUUGUACCAGAGAUUUUUGUUGAUAUUAUGUUGUGCUCAUGUUGACUUAGCUGUUUUUCUCCUCCUACCAUCUCUCUGCAAGUUUAGUCGGGAAGGUGCAGCUUCAUUUGGUCUUCAUCAAGCGUAACCAGGAGGUGCAUUUAGAGGUGCAGGUUCUCCAUGACUCCAGAUGGUUCUCUCACCUCCAGUUGUAACCCAGCUUCAGCUUAAUCAGUGUUUUCUACCAAUCUCAGUUUGAGUACUUGUCUUCCUCCUGCAGUCUGUCCUAAUUUGAUUAACCUCUUCCUGAAUUCCUGGAUUGUCCUCCCGUGCCACUGAUCUCACCUGGCGCUUCUUGGAUUGUCUCAUUGUAUCAUCGCUCUGAAUCCCUACUCGUUUGUCCACUCUCCACUGCCUUACCUGCCGCUUCUUUUCCUGGAAACACCAACAAGUAACCAAUAUUGACAGAAUUACUCGCCUGCUUUCAACCAAUCUCAGCUUUAGUGGAAAUACAUACCAUCUUCAUGAUCAGCAGCAAGCCCAGCUCUUACUCUCCCUCAGCCUGCACAUCUUCCAUUAUUCUGCACACCCAUAUUAAUCAUUUACCUUUUCCCCCAAUGUGGACCCAGCUGGUUUCCCUUUCCUGCCACCGUUUCCACAGCUAGAUCCUGUUAUGUUCAUAAUAAACUCUUUUCACUUA